UUUUGUCAUUAAGUUUCCAUUUGCUCAAGCUAACACACAAUUUUUGCAUUCGUCUUCGAUCAAAAAAAAUAUAUUCGAACAUUACAUGACAUUCAAUUACAGCAGAGAAGAGAAAACUGAAAAGAAAACGAAAAUUUAAAUAUCAAAUAACAUGACUAAAUAUAUAAUUGAACUACAGCAAAGUUUAAAAAAUGACGUGGAAAAAAUCCUAGACAAAAUUCAAAAGCAUAUAUUCGAAGUAUCACAUAAGACAAACUUGGAAGAAUUGAGAUUAUUAUUUGGAUUAAUUAUGGAAUGGUUUGAAAAUUCUCUUGGUUGUUAUUUAGGUUUGACAAUCUAAAACUGUUCCGUUAUUCGUCCAUAUCUGAAAAUACGCCAGCAAAUUUAGAAGGCGACAAUGUGUCGGAAGAAAUACUAUGUGAACAGAUAAAUUGUUUAAAUAUGCAUCGAAAAGUGUUGGAGGGAACGGACAUUGAGUGGCUAAUCAAUCAAUUUACUAGGCGUGUAUUGAAUAUGUUCGAAGAAAUUAAAUACCAAAAUUCGCAAUUUAUUCCAAGUAUCUCGACGAGAAUUGCAGAGCUACAGCAAUCCAUACUAGCAUCAUAUGCGAACGAUCUAAUUUGUGUAAUUUUUAAUUUUCAUGAACGUAUUGUUACCUUGUUUGAAAAAAAUCUGUAUCUGAAUUAUGUCAUCGAUAAAUUUGAAUCGAUGUUGUUAAAAAGCGAUGAAGGAAGUAUGUAUCACAAAUUUGAAAAUAUUUUGUAUAAUCGGUACCUUAAACCGGUACGUACACAACGUAAUGCAGCUACGAUAGACAACAUGAGAUCUCUUUGAACUAUUUCGUUGCGGUAAAGGCCAGAGCAGUUUUUUUACGCGAGAACCGAUAAGGACGAUCCGAUUAACGGCGAUAUUAUAUAUAACGGGUUUUAUUUAUUUAAUAUACAGAAAUUGUUUUUGCAACAACGAAAAAUUUUAAUGGCAAAAUGCUUGAUGACGAAUUGCGACUGACCACAGUGCAUAUUAUAUUGUACUCGUAAUUAUUUUCAAUAAAAAUGAGUUUGUUAUAUAUUUUUUACGUGACACACAAAAAAUAAAAUCAAAAAAUU